rnacentral:rRNA from 1 species
UACAGAGGUCUCAAGCGUUGUUCGGAUUCAUUGGGCGUAAAGGGUGCGUAGGCGGCGCGGUAAGUCGGGUGUGAAAUCUCGGAGCUUAACUCCGAAACUGCAUUCGAUACUGCCGUGCUUGAGGACUGGAGAGGAGACUGGAAUUUACGGUGUAGCGGUGAAAUGCGUAGAUAUCAAGAGGAACACCUGAGGUGAAGACGGGUUGCUGGGCUGAUACUGACGCUGAGGCGCGAAAGCUAGGGUAGCAAACGGG